rnacentral:lncRNA from 1 species
AAAGUAUCUGCCUGUCUCCGGGAGUGAAGUGUCACUGUAAGCCUUUUUUUCUUUCUAGAAAGUGGAACUGAAGUCAUCUACGUGUGCACUCAAAGUUCCUGCUCUGGCCAUCGAGGACAAAAAUGAAGAAUGAAGUUUAUAAUCUGUACUGAAGUAUGUACCAGGUCAGGUGCUGAAGAUGCACACAUGGCUGGAGGCAGGGGAGAAACUGGGACAAGUUUAACACAAAUUGAGUUCAUAUUGUUGUCAUGGUUUUCAUCCUGCCUCAAGGCCAGCUCAUAUAAGGUAGGUUUGAUGUGAAUGUGAUUAGUGAUUGGCUCCAGGACACAGCUUUCAGCCCCUCCUG